ensembl:lncRNA
CACAUCUGCAAAAGAUAAACUAGAUUAUUUUUAUUUAUUAGUUUAAUAUGAACCCUUAAUUAAAGAUUAUACGGUGAUGCACAAAAUGCAAAUUUACUUCUGCUAUUUUCUGCCUUGUAGUAUUUUAUCACAUAAUCCAAGUGUGGUUUUAAGUUUCUGAUUAGAAACUUCCAAAUAAACAAAAAGCAUUAAGGAGUUGUGAGCUUAUCGCAUGUUUAGACACAGCUUCAGGAAUUGUGCUCAUUCCUUCAAAUAGGAAUAUCUUGUACGUCUGAUUUCAUGAGGAAUUCAAAACUAAAGGUCAUGUAGAAACUGUCUUCAUACUUAAUUCAUUGAUAACAAAGCACAGUUUUGGCUCUUUAUCCUUCUAAUGAAAUGGUGUUGCACACACUGCAGAACUCUGGUAAUUUUAUUUUACUGUAAUUUCUAAAAAAAAAAAAAAAAAAAAGGCAUGCUAUAAUGCACUGAGGUGUUUUAAUAGAAAAUUGAGGGCCAGUCUUCUCUCUAUUUUCCAGAUAACUUCUCUCCUUCUGUCUGUGCUGGUUUUUUUUGUUUUUUUUUUCUUCAGAAUUGUAUUGCUUUGGUACUAUCUCACUUCUGCAAAAGGCAAUUUUGUUAAAUGUAUUCCCAGAUGCUCUGAUGAAGUUAUAACUGUUUGGCAAAGGCUUGAAGACGACGGUGCUGCACUGAAAAAUGAGCCUUGUCAACUGGAAACCAAUUUGCGAUCGUGAAACACAGAUGCUAUGGUCAACAUUGUAAUAUCUCUUUGCCACACACUUUCAGAUUUGGAACUUCCUGCCUUGGUGAAAGAGGCAAGGAUUAGCAUUAACAGUGGACUUCAGCCUCUGCCACCCAAAUCUACUGCUUGCUGUGCACAAGGAGGAACAGCACUGCUUUUACAAGGGAUUCUACGAGAAUCCCCUUCUCUGAGGAAUCUGGGUUGCGUUCAGAAAUCCAGCUCAUUAUCCAGAGGUGGUGCAACGCGACAUUCACCCGUCCUCUUUUUGCAGCUAAUGGAGCUGUCAGUGCUGCUGUCACUCACUUAUCACCUCAGCCAGAAAGGCGGUGCAAGCCCUAAAGGAAACAGAUCAUCCCAAGAGCAGAGUAUUGAAAUAAAAUUGACCCUUAUUCAAAUGUAUGCAUGAAAUGAACUUUUCCCUUUGACUGUUGUUUGUAACAGGCUUGCUUUUCAUUCUAAAGAGUUAAGGUGGGUUGAGAAUAUGUCAUUUUUCAGGAAAAUAUCUGUUACAGGCUGUUCUGUUGUCAGUGUUUUGUGAUAUUUUCAUGGCGUAUUUGGAAAAAAGAUUUUCACCUCUGUCUUUUUCAGUUGCCUUAAUCCCAGCACUCUCAUCUCAUUCAAGAGACAGUAAUGACUGACUUCACUUGUUGCACUACAUGUUGGUGCCAAGAACGUUUGUGAAUGUUCUCACUGAUUUUAAAUAUAAAUCUCAGUACUGGGAGACACCUUCCCAUCAAAAGCAAUUGAGUCACCAAAGCAGGGAAGGAGAGGUUAAGCAGGUAAAGUGGCACCAGUCAAGAAGGUGCUGGUUGGCAAGUAAAGUGCAGGGGAUGACAGCUGGGCUGACAAAAUGACAUUUGUAUCUCUAGAGAAGUGAGACUUUCUUAAUUUAACUGCGGAAGUGUCAAGAUCAUCUUCUGAGUGAGUUUGAAGCAAGUAAGUUUCAAAUGGAAAGAAAGAAAGUUUCAAGAGGAAAAAUUAAAUAUGCUCAGUGCCCCUGAAAAUGGAAUUCAUUAUAGAAGUAGGUGAGCUCUGUGGAGGAAACGUUUUUCUCUAACAAGAGCAGCCUACAACACGUGACACGUGAAGAAACAGAAUCUCUGACAUGUCAGGAGAGCAUCUGAGUGGGAUGUGGAACCAAAAAG